UGUAUGACGUGUUCUUAAUUCUGUGUGACGCGUUUCUUGUUUCAAGGAGAGGCAAUCUACAGGAAAUAACCCUUCUCAUUUGUAAU